CGACGCCUAUUUUUUUGGCUCAGGAAUCCCUAGCACUCGAUAGUGAUUUCGCUUAUCGUGGUCGGUUUCAAAGCCACAAAUUGCACAUUUUCGAUGAGUCUUAGAAUGAAUGAUUUUCUCGAGUGCACUCUUGAAUCUAGAUUAUUUUUUGCGGCCCUUUGUUUGAAAAAUACUCAAUUCGUAAUAAUAAUAUAAUAAUAAUAAAAUAUUGAGAAAUUUAAUUUGGGGGGAAAUAAACUGUUUUAAGAUAUAUACAAAUUCAAGGUAAAUUAAAACAGCUAGGCCCGUGGUGCUCGGGUGGUCAUUUGACGAGGGAUUGGUGCUUGAGGUCACGGGUUCGAGUCUGUUUAGCAGCAAAAAAAAUAUCAUUUGCAAGCCAUUAUAG
rnacentral:lncRNA from 1 species